rnacentral:piRNA from 1 species
UACCCAUGCUUAUCCCGGAAAUGGGAGAGGU